GCAUCUGUGCAUGCAGCAUAUCAAUAAGCGGAGGAAAAGAAACUAACAAGGAUUCCCCUAGUAACGGCGAGUGAAGCGGGAAGAGCUCAAAUUUGAAAUCUUAAAGGGUUUCCCUUUACGAAUUGUAGUUUAAAGAAGUGUUUUCUGUUGAGGUUUUGGUAAAAGUUCCUUGGAAUAGGACAUCAUAGAGGGUGAGAAUCCCGUAUUUGACCUUUACUUUCAACUUUGUGAUACACUUUCAAAGAGUCGGAUUGUUUGGGAAUGCAGUCCAAAAUGGGUGGUAAAUUUCAUCUAAAGCUAAAUAUUGGCGAGAGACCGAUAGCGAACAAGUACCGUGAGGGAAAGAUGAAAAGAACUUUGAAAAGAGAGUUAAACAGUACGUGAAAUUGUCAAAAGGGAAGCGUUUGACACCAGUGUUGUUUUUCUGAAAAUCAAUUAAAGAACUGUUUAUGCUAAGCUGUUUAGACUUUAUCAGCUAACUGUUUAGUUUUGAGCUUUUCUUUAAUGCACUUUUCAGUUAACAAGUCAACAUCAAUUUCUUUUGCUGUAAAAAAGCUUGAGGAAGGUGGCUUGAGAUUCGUCUUAAGUGUUUAUAGCCUCUUGCCUAUGCAGUCGGAGAGAUUGAGGUCUGCAGCGUAGAUCCUUCGGGGCUAAAUGCAUUUGUGCUAAGUUAUAGCAUUUUAUAGACAACUUGUUGACUAUGACUUGUCUUGUAGCUUACUCGCUUAUGUUAUUUUACCUACGCUUAGGAUGUUGAACGCGCACAGAGUCUC
rnacentral:rRNA from 1 species